rnacentral:tRNA from 1 species
AGGUCGUUAGCUUAGUGGUAGAUUAUUUGACUGCAAGUCAAGAGGUCAUAGUUCAAACCUAAUAGGACCUU